rnacentral:rRNA from 1 species
UGAGGAACAUGACCUUCGGCGGGGGAGUAGCCGGCCCAACGGCCGGGUAAUACCGCGUACGACCUCUUGGGGACAUCCCCGAUUGGUGAAAGCAGCAGUGCGCCGAAAGAGUGCCUCGCGGCCUAUCAGCUAGUUGGUGGGGUAAUGGCUCACCAAGGCAACGACGGGUAGCUGGUCUGAGAGGAUGGCCAGCCACAUUGGGACUGAGACACGGCCCAGACUCCGUACGGGGAGGNAGCG